AUGGACAUGAGGGCCCCUGCUCAGCUCCUCGGGCUCCUGCUGCUCUGGUUACCAGGUGCCCGAUGUGACAUCCAGAUGACCCAGUCUCCAUCCUUCUUGUCUGCAUCUCUGGGAGACAGAGUCACUCUCAAUUGUCGGUCCAGUCAGAGCAUUUAUAGUAGAUUAAACUGGUACCAGCAGAAACCAGGAAACGCUCCUAAGCUCCUGAUCUACAGUGCAUCCAACUUGGCUGAUGGGGUCCCAUCGAAGUUCAGUGGCAGUGGGUCUGGGACAGAUUAUUCCCUCACCAUCAGCAGCCUGGAGUCUGAAGACAUUGCAACUUAUUACUGUCAACAGGAUAAUGAGUAUCCUCCCACAGUGAUACAAGUCAUAACAUAA